GACGAACGCUGGCGGCGUGCUUAACACAUGCAAGUCGUACGGUAAGGCCCUUUCGGGGGUACACGAGUGGCGAACGGGUGAGUAACACGUGAGUAACCUGCCCACAACUUUGGGAUAACGCUAGGAAACUGGUGCUAAUACUGGAUAUGUGCUCCUGAUGCAUGGUGGGGGUUGGAAAGCUCCGGCGGUUGUGGAUGGACUCGCGGCCUAUCAGCUUGUUGGUGGGGUAGUGGCCUACCAAGGCGGCGACGGGUAGCCGGCCUGAGAGGGUGACCGGCCACAUUGGGACUGAGAUACGGCCCAGACUCCUACGGGAGGCAGCAGUGGGGAAUAUUGCACAAUGGGCGCAAGCCUGAUGCAGCAACGCCGCGUGCGGGAUGACGGCCUUCGGGUUGUAAACCGCUUUCAGCAGGGACGAAGCUUUUUGUGACGGUACCUGCAGAAGAAGCACCGGCUAACUACGUG
rnacentral:rRNA from 1 species